UUUCCCUCCAUUGAAUGCUUUCAUUCUCCUCAAAUCUCCUAAAAUCUACCUUUCCCCCAAAUCUCCUAAAUAUAAUUCUCCCCCAAAUCUUUCAAAUGCCAUUCAUCUUCACCACAAAGAACCACCGUCUUGUGACCGUCUGCCACUGCUGGAAACGAACCGCCAUUGACGACUCUUCUUGAAUCUGGGCUUGUGUCGAACCGUCUUCAAUGAGCAUGUGCCGAACCUGUGAUCCUCUGCCCAUUUCAUCAUCACCACAACGACCCUGUGUCGAAUCUUGUGAAUCAACGGGUUUGGAAUAAUUGGUCGAUUGGUGGCUAGGGUCGCCUUGAAGAGAGUUGAUGUUGAGCUUGUUGCUGUCAACGACCCAUUUGUCUCUGUGGUGUACACGGAUUUGAACAAGCGCCAUCACCCAUUAGACUUAAAUACUUUAAACUUAUUGACUUCUCACCAGCAGUCAUGAACCAAGCAACCCUCACGACACUCAUAGAGUAGUGCUUAACAUAUUUGAUGUGAGAACUGGAAAAAUAAUGAAAGGUUUCAACGAAAGGGCAGAUGAGUUUGCGUUUGGAGAAACCGGCGGUUUCACUGGGGUUUCUUGGCCUGAUUUCAGUUUUCAUGAAGGCCUCACCCGCCAUCCUUGUUGUGUCCCGAGAACGAGGAAGAAAUAUUGAAGAAGCUUAAAAAACACAGUGAAAAUGUUGGUGCACUUGUGUCUGUACUUUGUCUGUAUUCGGUCACGAUGUAAACGAUGUCCGUGUCAGUCCUGUAAGUUGACCAAGUCAACCGUCCUCCUGGUUUGACUUGGCCAAACAAUCAUAUAUUGGUUGUAAAGUGUCUGUCUCGAAGGUUGAGGAUCGAAGGAUGUUUCAUAUCCUUCGAUCACUUCGAAAGAUAUGCUUCGACUGAUAGACCUCGAAGGAUCAUCCUUCGAGGUCCUUGCUGAUCCUUCGAGAGCAUUGCAUUCGAAAGAUGAUCCUUCGGACCAUCUAUCGAAUCCUUCGAGCAAGACCUGCUGUGUAUGGGUAUAAAUACCCAUGCAGUGUGUUGUGUUCAUUUAGAGACACUUAGAAAGACAGACAGAAAGAUAGAGCUGAGAGCAUUCUGUCCGAAACACACACACACAUAGUGAGAGUUUGCAAGUUAGAUUUGUAAACAUUGUGCUUGU